AUUGAACGCUGGCGGCAGGCUUAACACAUGCAAGUCGAGCGGAGAUGAGGUGCUUGCACCUUAUCUUAGCGGCGGACGGGUGAGUAAUGCUUAGGAAUCUGCCUAUUAGUGGGGGACAACAUUCCGAAAGGAAUGCUAAUACCGCAUACGUCCUACGGGAGAAAGCAGGGGAUCUGCGGACCUUGCGCUACUAGAUGAGCCUAAGUCGGAUUAGCUAUUUGGUGGGGUAAAGGCCUACCAAGGCGACGAUCUGUAGCGGGUCUGAGAGGAUGAUCCGCCAAACUGGGACUGAGACACGGCCCAGACUCCUACGGGAGGCAGCAGUGGGGAAUAUUGGACAAUGGGGGGAACCCUGAUCCAGCCAUGCCGCGUGUGUGAAGAAGGCCUUAUGGUUGUAAAGCACUUUAAGCGAGGAGGAGGCUACUGAGACUAAUACUCUUGGAUAGUGGACGUUACUCGCAGAAUAAGCACCGGCUAACUCUGUGCCAGCCGCCGCCGUAA
rnacentral:rRNA from 1 species